CUCCGCUUUCGGGCGCGCGCCGUGGUCCCUCCUCGUCGUCCUGCACCAGAACAGACUCAGCAUCCCCCGCCUGGUCUCCGCGUUUCUAAGCCCGUACACCACUGGGUUGAUGAGCGGUGGCACGAGGAGCAUCACCAACAGUGCCAUGUGGAGCACGACUGCCGUGUCCGAGGGCGUCGGCUCCGUCAGCGCCACCAUGGCCUCGGUGCCCUCCACCUCCCACAACGUGUCCGAGGCGACUUUGAGCAGCAGCGGGAGCAGCUGCAGGAAAAGCAUCCCGCAGUAGAACAGCACGGUCCGGCGCGCUUUGGUGUUGACCGUGCUGAACGGCAUCAUGGCGUUGCGCGCGUCCUGGUACAUCCUCAGGUGGAGUAGAUCCAGAUGAAGGCCAGCGCCAGCCGCCGGCGCGUCUGAGUGAUGAUGACCAAGUAGCGGAUGGCGUGGCACACAUACAGGUAGCGCUCCAGUGCCAUGAAUGUGAUGGUGAGAAGGCUGGAGAAGAUGCUGACGGUCCCCACAAAGUACUGGACGUUACACCAGGCGCCGAACGCCAUGGUGCGUCGUUGGAGGAGCGAGCCGAUGACCGCUGGGCCGAAAGUAACGGUCUGCAAGAGGUCGCUCAGGAUCAGGUUCUUAAAGAAAGCCACGCGCGGCUCCCAGGAGAGGUCCUCGGAGCGCCCGAGUCCUAAAAGGGUGAGUCCAUUAACCAGAAAGGAGAAGAGAGUCAGCAACAGGAAAACCCACACUAGCGCUGGAACCGCCUGUUCGUGGGGCAGUACGCGCAGAAAGAGGCAGCCGGCACGGUGCAGGUGCUCGGUGGCGCGCGGCUCGGUUCGGUUCCCGUCGCUGAACCAGUCGCACUGCGCGAUGGGAUUGUGCGACCCCGGCGCCGUCUGCACAGGUGCUGUUGACAUUUUGAUCUGUUGAAUGUGUUGUAGGCUGCCAAUCAUGCUAUUCCACGCUCAAUCCCAGUCACUCAUCUGGAACUACCUCGACACGGUGCGCGUAAUGAUUUAAUGGAGAGCAUUGCAGAUGUGGAACCACAGGGGCAUCCCAGCGCGCUCUUACGCACGUGUAGAAUAGGAUUGCUGAUGAAUAGGUUUAUAAAUGUGAAUCUGAUUAGUUCACGAGGAGGAACAUUUUCAUUUGAGAAAAAAAAAGAAAGGAAAUGGAAGUAACUUCAUACACUACACACAUAUAAAUAAACAGAUCUGGAGGUUUAAUCAUAUUUCUUUUAUACACACACACACACACACACACACACACACAAUUGUGGAGAAAAGUACAUACAUUUGUAAAGAACAUAAUGUCAUGGAUCUCUUGAGUUUCCUGUUUCCUGUUAAAAAAUCUGCAGGGUCAAAAAUAUAGUGCUAAUAUUUGGUUACAUGUCCCAUGGCCAUUUUCACUUCAAUUAGGCGCUUUUGGUAGCCAUCCACAAGCUUCUGGUAAGCUUCUCGUUGAAUCUUUGAUCUUUGGUUUCUUCAGCAUUGUCCACAUGUUCUCAAUGGGAUUUAAGUCAGGACUUUGGGAAGGCCGUUCUAAAACCCUAAUUCUAGCCUGAUUUAGCCAUUCUAUUACCACUUUUGAUGUGUGUUUGGGGUCAUUGUCCUGUUGGAACACCCAACUGCGCCCAAGACCCAACCUGUAACAUACGUCUCUGCUGAAUAAGUUACUGUGCUGUCCCUUAUGAAACAGUCAUAUUCAAACAGUGCCCUGUUUCAUCCACAACUACAAAUAGCAGUGCAACAAAGGAUAUUUAUGUUUAUGUCUUAACUAGUUAGCUAACGCUCAAUUUAGCCUUAGAAAACAAAAUAACAUCCGAAAUGAACCGUUUCAAAAAUCUGAGGAUUAUUAAAACCUUAAUGUUAACGUUAUAUGCGUCAUCCACAAAAUGAGGGAAAUGUGGCGUUUCCAGCCGAGCUACAGGCACCAAUAUUGUAUGUAUACUAACGUUAGCUUAUUCAGACACUCGGAUAAGAUGACUGUGAAUUAAGAACCCUUUAAUAUCUCAAAGAAACAUUUAUAACCUAAAGAUAUGAAAAACAUGUAGAACCAUUUAAUAGAUGUAAUGGUUCUUUAGAAGGUUCUUUGUAGAACCACACUGCCUUCUAAAGAACCAUUUUUUUUUGCGUGAAGGGCAAGACAACGACCAAGUGCCGGUCAGACCUUUUGAGUAGUAUUCUGUCAUACUGACAGUAAAAACAGCAGACUGGGGUAUUCAGGAAUUGGGCUGACUUCCGUGUCAUUAUUCCAUUUCCGUGCAUCUCCAAGACUUACCGUAACUCUCUCCUCUCUGGCAUCAACCUAUCACUGGUUUUAAUACAUGACAUUAUCCCAAUCCUGGCUUCUCUUCACUGGCUCCUUUGAGUUAGAAUUAAAGAAGAAUGGGAAUUCAUUAUUUACCAAACUUACAUUACCUUCAUGGACAAUUUGUCAGGAAUUCAGCUUCCUGAACAGGGUUUGUUACAUUGCCACUCUAACCUGUUUUUUCUGAGUUUCCCCAAACACAUCCUGACUAAUUAUUCAACCAUCGACACCUGCUGCUGCCUGCACACCCGGUCCUGAUUACCAUCCCCUUCACCAUUGAAGCCGUGACCAGACAACCAGUCCUUGCCGGAUCGUUAGCGUACCACCUCAUUACUUGGAUCGCCCUUUUCCCCUGCCUAGCCGUUGACCCGACUCCAGCCCCCACUCAUCACCACCCAACCGGACCAGACCUUCCCCACACCUUUUUUUUGCAUAAUAAAUACCCACCUUUUAUUUUGAUUCUUCCGUGUGGUCUGCUUUUGGGUUCCCGUCCUGGACGAUUCGUG
ensembl:lncRNA